ensembl:snRNA U6 U6 spliceosomal RNA
GUGCUGUCUUUGGCAGCACAUACACUGCAAUUGGAAGGAUCCGGAGAAGAUUAGCGUGGCCCCUGCAAAAGGGUGGCAUGUAAAUUUGUGAAGUGUUCCAUAUUUUU